rnacentral:pre_miRNA from 1 species
UCUUCAUUUCUUCACACUAUCUCACCGGCCAGAGAGGCGUGAGAGUGUGCGAAAUGAAGAGA